UACGUAGGGGGCUAGCGUUGUCCGGAAUCAUUGGGCGUAAAGAGCGUGUAGGCGGCCCGGUAAGUCCGCUGUGAAAGUCCAGGGCUCAACCCUGGGAUGCCGGUGGAUACUGUCGGGCCCGAGUCCGGAAGAGGAGUGUGGAAUUCCUGGUGUAGCGGUGAAAUGCGCAGAUAUCGGAAGGAACGCCGGUGGCGAAAGCGGCACGCUGGACCCCUUCUGACGCUGAGGCGCGAAAGCCAGGGGAGCAAACGGG
rnacentral:rRNA from 1 species